rnacentral:rRNA from 1 species
UGGGGAAUAUUGCACAAUGGGCGAAAGCCUGAUGCAGCAACGCCGCGUGAGUGAUGACGGUCUUCGGAUUGUAAAGCUCUGUCUUUGGGGACGAUAAUGACGGUACCCAAGGAGGAAGCCACGGCUAACUACGUGCCAGCAGCUGCGGUAAUACGUAGGUGGCAAGCGUUGUCCGGAUUUACUGGGCGUAAAGGGUGCGUAGGCGGACCUUUAAGUGAGAUGUGAAAUCCCCGAGCUUAACUUGGGGGCUGCAUUUCAAACUGGAGGUCUAGAGUGCAGGAGAGGGGAGUGGAAUUCCUAGUGUAGCGGUGAAAUGCGUAGAGAUUAGGAAGAACACCAGUGGCGAAGGCGACUCUCUGGACUGUAGCUGACGCUGAGGCACGAAAGCGUGGGGAGCAAACAG